rnacentral:rRNA from 1 species
CAGUAGCCGCGGUAAUACGAAGGGUGCAAGCGUUACUCGGAAUUACUGGGCGUAAAGCGUGCGUAGGUGGUGGUUUAAGUCCGUUGUGAAAGCCCUGGGCUCAACCUGGGAAUUGCAGUGGAUACUGGGUCACUAGAGUGUGGUAGAGGAUAGUGGAAUUUCCGGUGUAGCAGUGAAAUGCGUAGAGAUCGGAAGGAACAUCAGUGGCGAAGGCGGCCAUCUGGGACAACACUGACGCUGAGGCACGAAAGCGUGGGGAGCAAACAGGAUUAGAUACCCCGGUAGUCCCUGUCUCUUAUAU